rnacentral:rRNA from 1 species
UGAGUAACCUGCCCUUAACUCUGGGAUAAGCCUGGGAAACUGGGUCUAAUACCGGAUAUGACUCCUCAUCGCAUGGUGGGGGGUGGAAAGCUUUAUUGUGGUUUUGGAUGGACUCGCGGCCUAUCAGCUUGUUGGUGAGGUAACGGCUCACCAAGGCAACGACGGGUAGCUGGUCUGAGAGGACGAUCAGCCACACUGGAACUGAGACACGGUCCAGACUCCUACGGGAGNAG